UAUAUACUCCCUCCGUCCAACAAAGGAUGUCUCAGUUUUGACUAAAUUUGAAUACAUCUAUACACUAAGCCAUGUCUAGAUACAUCCAAAUUUUGACAAACUUGAGACAUCUUUUGUUGGACGGAGGAAGUAUAUC
rfam:Brachypodium distachyon strain Bd21 chromosome 2, whole genome shotgun sequence.